UUCCUCAAACUAUUAUUCUCAUUCAAAAUUCAAAUUCAAAGAAAAGAGUACCAGAGAAGAGUAUGAGAGAAGAAAGGAGAGAGUUGAAGUUCUCUCUGCCCACUUUCUCUCUCCAGUUUUUCAAAAACAUCUCAUUCAAAAUUCAAAUUCAUUAUUUCCCUUCUCCAAAACCCUAAACCCAAUUUUCCCAUGGAAGACCACACUCCGAUAAUCAUUGAUGGAACAACAUUGAAGACCUCUCUCAAGGUUAGAUUUGAUGUAUUGGAAAACCCUAAUCCUAUUAGCAAUUGAAGAUGCCGCUAAUCUCCGAUCAUUUAUCGCUUUGUUCUCCAAGUUUUUACGAACAUAAUCAAGCCGAUAUUGACUCAAUUCAGUUUGUAGUUGGACAUAAAUUGAAUAAGAAAAAAGUAUACAUCAAGUAUACUAGAUGUGUAGGGAGAAGGCACCUAUGGAAAAGUAUACAAAGCCAGAGAGAAAGCCACCGGCAAAAUUGUUGCUCUCAAGAAAACUAAACUUCAUGAAGACGAGGAAGGCGUUCCGCCUACUACGCUCCGAGAGAUCUCGACCCUGCGGAUGCUCUCACGUGAUCCUCAUGUGGUUAAGCUGAUGGAUGUGAUGCAAGGUGUGAAUAAAAAUGGGAAUACUGAAAUCGGAUAUGAAUUUUGUUUCAGGUAUAAGCUCUAAAAGAAGAGAUCGGAUAAGUAAAUCAGUUUCCCCCGAUUGUUUCGAUGGAAGUUUUGGUAGUGAUUUGCCACGACAACGGUGACUGCCGGUGGCAGAGGAGGACUCUGGACGCCGGGCAGCGAUGGAGGAUUGUGGUGGCGCAGGCGAAUUCUAGACUUGAAAGUUACCGGUUGCUUUUUACAUUUUUUUUGUAUUGGUUCCUUUUUAAUAUAUGAGUUUACCUGGAAAUCUUUGUUUUGUGUAGAGCCCCAAACUGCCAAACGGAUUUCAACGCCCAAAGUCAGAGAGCUAGGUCUUAAAACGAAAGGGGGCAACCUAUAGAAGUUGAAGUGUCAGCAUAUGUUGAUUGUUCAAUCGAAAUCUCAAAUCAAAAUGGAUUUCAACUCAGUAAUGCCUUUGAUCCUUUGUUUGUUUUGACAAAUCAAAAUGGAUUUCAACUCACUGUGUACGGCAAAGGGUUUAUAGCCCGCGACAUGGGUUUCCGCAACACCGCCGGUGCUUCCAAGCACCAGGCCGUUGCUCUAAUGUCGAUAGCCGACCAAUCUGUAUUCUACCGUUGCCAAACGACGCUUUCCAAGACCCUCUUUACGCCCAUGCCAACCGCCAGUUUUACAAAGAAUGCAACAUUUACGGCAUAGUAGACUUCAUUUUCAACAACUCAGCCGUUGUCCUUCAGAAGUGUGACAUACAUCCAAGGAGACCAAUGACUGGCCAACAAAACACGACCACGGCCGAAGGCAAGUUUGAUCCUAACCAAAUUCGGCAAGUUUCAUUUUGAUUCAAAAUUGCAACAUUUCGCCAUUCGGCAACUUGAUCCAAAGGGAUGGAUGCCAUGGGUUGGAACAUCGGCUCCCAACACGAUAUUUUACGCCGAACAUGCAGUUUUAUGUUGUAUAUUGUAUAGUUCAUUAACAACAUUAAUUGACUGAAUACUGACUACAGGUGGAUUUGAUACUGCCCUUGCUGCAGCUAGGUUAGAGUUUUGUUUGAAAAAAAAUUGUAACUCAAUAUAUUUCUUGGUAAGGUUUGCCAAACAUGGCUCUUAGCACGAA